GCGGUAAUACGUAGGGCGCAAGCGUUGUCCGGAAUUAUUGGGCGUAAAGAGCUCGUAGGCGGCUUGUCACGUCGGGUGUGAAAGCCCGGGGCUUAACCCCGGGUCUGCAUUCGAUACGGGCUAGCUAGAGUGUGGUAGGGGAGAUCGGAAUUCCUGGUGUAGCGGUGAAAUGCGCAGAUAUCAGGAGGAACACCGGUGGCGAAGGCGGAUCUCUGGGCCAUUACUGACGCUGAGGAGCGAAAGCGUGGGGAGCGAACAGGAU
rnacentral:rRNA from 1 species